rnacentral:misc_RNA from 1 species
GCGGCCAGAGGGCCAGUCAUCUCAAGCUGCCGAUCAAACAACCGAAUCGGAAACUGGAACUGACGACGAUGCUUCUGUCGCCGCAACUGAUCAGCUAAGCGAAGCGCGAUCGGAUGCGACCGGUGACGAGCUGUCCGCGGAAGUUAAUAGCGAUUCAUCCCUGUCGCAACUCGAAAUCCAGCCGUCGCUGGCUGAGAGCGAGACCACCGAAUCAUCCGAACAACCUGAUCGGCAAGCCCAGGCAGACAACGUCGAGAA